GAACUUGCUAUGGAGAGUACGGCUGAGGUUAUUGCAGAAGCCAUGCGGGAAAUGCUGCGUAACACUCUCGUGCGUGGACUCUUUGUCACUAUGGCUUUCAUCCAGCUCAAGCUUCUCGUCGAUCUGUGGGGUUCGUGUGUCAAAGGAUCUCAUUGGGAAAGGAUUUGUCUGUAGUCAGAGUUAUUGGUGCCGUGGGCGCAGAUGCGACGUAUUGCUUUGUCAUCAUUCCCUAUAUUGCUCAGAUGUGGAGGAAGAAGCAACCGCUGAUUUGACAGCAUAAUUGAGGUAUAUCCAUGUGUUUAAAUACGCUCCGAAUAAAGCACUUCCUUUUAUUUGCCCUGUGUUUAUGUUUUAAAUAAGCUUUUGCAUUUGUGAAGUGUCUCCAGUAUAUUACACAAACGGUUCCAUUGGUUUCAACAUCAUGAUUUACCUGUUGGAGCCUAGCGCAUUAAAACAUUGUUAAAUGGUAUGUAUCAAACUGUUUGGUUAUCCUAACUAGACCUAUCAACAAUUUUUUAUAGUCGUUUAAUCGAACCUAGUCAGACGACUAGCUUUCUAGUAGCUCAAACCUAGUCGGUGGCCCUUAUCGGUGCCAAGGGAGUGAUAAGCCCGACUAAUUGUGACUAAUCACGAUUAGUCGGACGACUAGAUACUGCCUAUCAAUAAGAUGCCACCAGAAUUGUCUUUUUUUUUUAUAUGGAGAAAGUGGCCAAUCAACUCUGGUCCUUAUCAUACCAGGUGAUCAUAGAAUUAAUCAACACUUUUCAUUCAAACCAAAAUUCCACGUUUAGGCAAUUAGGUGCCCUGAUCUUUGCGAAUGAGACAAUGAGGCAGCUAGUGAGGUUGUAACAAUACCUUUAACUGCUUAUGGAAAUUUGUUUGUAAACACCUUUAUAUGCAAUAUAAUAACUCCAUUGUCAUUGAAUACAUCCUGGCCAAGCCCAAGGGUAUAUCCUUAAAUUUUAAAGGGCUAGUUUCAAUGCAAUGGAGCCCUUUUUUAUCUUUAACUUCAUGUUCUCCAAUUAAAUUUCUCUGACACAUUCACUGUUUGCUUUGGCUUACUUAUUAUGACAAUUUGCUUUAUGCUCAUUCUUGGCAUCCCAAAAUCAUUAUUUUGAACCGUAAAAUAUGCUGGCUGGUUGCCAGAUAUUAGCUCUCGUGAAAAUGUUGCCAUGAACAUAUAUUUUCUGAGACACAGUUGGCCAAGUGGCCAAUUCAAUCAAAUGGCUGACAGACCAAGAGAUCAUCAAAUUUUAAACAAUGUGUAUUACAAAACCCAGUUUCAACCAUUUAGGUGAGCCACCCCCAGGAAUUUGUCACUUGAUAGCUAAUGAGAUCCUAACAAGAGGUGUGCUGCUAGGCUUGAUAACUGUUUGGUAGUAAAACUUUGUUGGAAAAUCUGCUGUCACCGACAAAAUCUCAAUUGACCCUACUAUAAAACCAAGUUUCAUCUGCAAUUCUGCAUGGUCUACUUAGCAACAAGUUCACAUUGCCUCUUUGUUAUCUAUUUUUUCUUAAAUAAUUGGCAUCUGAAUGUUUUUAUAUGUCUGGUAAAAGAGAAGCUCAGUCCUUGGCUACUUGUGUUUGGUGAUAUGUCAUACAUCACUGCAUUUUGCCUAUCGUGUCUGAGGUUCCAUGUGGUAUCUUCAUGCUAGUCCUGCUUUGGUGACAUGGUUGCUUGUAGCAUUAAUUCCAAUUUAUGCUUUAGUUUGUUUCUGGCAAAAGUUUCAAUUCCAGGACUCCCAUCGUUUUGGUUAGAAGUUGUAUGCAUGUCGAUACUGUCAACUAUUUACGUAUUAGCAUGUGUUUUCUAUCAAAAUAUGAACAGGUUCUUCAGUUUAUACCGUGCAUCAUGAUGCCUUAACUGUAUAACAUUUUUUCUUCAUUUUACAAUUUUUUUUAAAUAAAAAUCAUUCAAGAAAGUGUCCAAUUAACUCUGAUGCUUAUCAUACCCAAUGAUCAUAGAAUUACUCGACACCUUCAAAACCGAAAUUCCAUGUUUAGGCAACUAGGUGCCCUGAUAUUUGUGAAUGGGACAAUGUGGUAGCCAGUGAGGUUGUAACAGGACUUUUAUUGCUUAUAGAAAUUGGUUGUAAAGAACUUUAUAUGCAAUAUAAUAACUCCAUUGUUGUUGAAUACAUCUUUGUCAAGCCCAGUGGUAUAUCCUUAGAUUCUAAAAACCUAGUUUCAACGUGAUAGCCCUUUUUUAUCUUUAUUUUCAUGUUAUCCAAUUAAAUUUCUCUGGCAUAUCCACCAUUUGCUGUGGCUUACUUGUGUGCCAUGUAGUCUUUUCUAUUAUGAAAAUUCUCUUUAUGCUCAUUCUUGUCCCCCUAAAAUGUCUUAAAUAUUCUGUAAUGUUUCAAUCAUUAUUCUGUAAAACCUGCUGUCUGGUUGCCACAUAUUAGCUCUCAUGAAAAUGUUGGAAUGAACACCUAUUUUCUAAUGGCUGACAGGCCAAGAGAUCAUUAAAUUGUUAAACAAUGUGUGUUAAAAACCUAGGACUUUGUCACUUUGUAGCUAGUGAGAUCUCAAACAAGAGGUGUGCUAGUGGGCUGAAAACUAUUUGGUAGUUCAACUUUGUUUGAAAAUUUGUUGUCACUGAAAAAAUCUCCAUUGUCCCUACUAUCAAAGUUUUAUCUGCAAUUCUGAAUGAUCUCCUUAGUGACAUGUUCUCAUUGCCUCUCUGUUACCUAUUUUUUAAUUGGCAUCAAUUAAUGCUUUUAUGUCUGGUUGCAGCUUCAUCAAGUCUAUACAUUAACAUGUUAGUAGAACAUAUUUACUCUUCUUGGUUACCUCCAUGUGGUGAUAUGUUAUACAUCACUGCAUUUUGGGCCACAUCGUAUCUGAGGUUCCAUGUAGUAUCUUCAUGUUAGUCCCGCUUUGAUGAUAUGGUUGCAUGUAUUUAUAAUUUAGUUAGUUUCGUGUGGCAAAAUUUUUAUUUCCACUACUCCCAUUGUUUUUGUUUGAAGGGGUCUGCAAUUCUGGAUGUUGAUAUUGUGAAGUAUUUGUGUGUAAACAUGUGUUUUCCGUCAAAAUAUGAACAGGUUCUUAACUUUAUAAUGUGUAGUAUUAUCCUGUUGACUAUAUAAGAUUUUUCUUCAUUUAACAAAGUUUUUUUUUUGUAAAAUCAUUCAAGAAACCAGCAAGAGUGUUAUAUAAACUGUUUGGGGUCAUUGGUUUGCCGUAAAUACAAAAUACCUCUCCUUUUGCAUCUACCUGUCGACUGUGAGCAUUGCAUGUGUUUACAAAUACUUAUUAUUUCACAUUUAUCAAAUAUCCAAUUCCACUACGGGAAAGCUAAAAAUUGCCGAGUGUUUUUUCUUUACCGAGUGUUUUUUUUCGAACAUUUGGCAAACGAGCUCUUUGCCGAGUGUCAAGCCAAAAACACUCGGCAAAGAAAAAACACUCGGCAAAUCGGGUCUUUGCCGAGUGUCAAGAAAAAAACACUCGGCAAACCCGCCUCUUUUGCCGAGUGUUAAAAAAAAACACUCGGUAAAAGGGGGGGGGUUUGCCGAGUGUCAAAAAAAAAACACUCGGCAAAGAGAGGGGUUUGCCUAGUGUUUUUUUUUGACACUCGGCAAAAUAAUAAGUUUUUUUCUCUUUUCACCUUGAAAAUUUUUCUACUCCCCACAUACAACAUUUGGUACUCCAUGUUAAAAUUUGGUACAAUUUUAGAUUUGUUUGCUAUAUUUAAUUAAUUAAUUGCAUUUCAAGGAAAUUUUUUGUAUAUGUCAAAUUUGAACUGCAAGUGAUUCAAACUAUAGAAUAAAAUGAGUAGAAAAAUGAUAUUCAUGUUAUUUAGCCAAGUUUGAUAUUUAGCCAAGUUUGAGGCCUUACCCAUGAAAUUAAAAGAAAUUUUGAACAUUUUGUUCAGGAAACACGACCAUGAAUGUAUGGCCAAAUGAUUUUUUAAUUGUAAAAAAAGCAUGCGAAGUCUGAAAAUCAUGAGAUUUGUCAUGAUGUGAUGAUAUCAUACGUGGAGGCUGCGGUAUAAAAUUGAGAAGAUUUCACACAUGUCGUCACAUAUGAUGUUUACAAACUGAAACAUCUCAGAAGAAGAAUAGUAGCGUUGAGAAGGAUUCGAUAAGAAUUAGAGUUAGAGUGAUGGUCGAGUUUUGUUUUGACUACAAAACUUUUUGUAUAGGCAAUAGAGAACAUAUAUUCUUUCAUGUGAAAUUUUUGUAAUUUUUUGGAAUCGUUAGAUAAUUUUAAUGUAUUAAGUGCAAUUAUAGAAUUCUAAUUGAUAUAAAUUUAAUUUGAAUUAUAACCGCAUAAAAUAAUGGAAUAAUAUGAGUAGAAUAAUCAAAUAUAUAUUGUUGAGUGAAUUUUACCUAUCACCGCAUAAUAUAAUCAAAUAUCAGUAGAAACUGUUACGGAAAAGGUGGGAAAAUGAAAAAAAAUCUUUACCGAGUGCCCAAAUCUAGGACACUCGGCAAAGAAGGAGUUUGCCGAGUGUUAUCCUUUUUACACUUAACAAACUCCACACCACGGACGCCGCCCGCUCGGCCGGCCACAUUAACACCUGGCGCGCGCCCCUCCCGGCCCCCAUCCACUCCACACCAUGGACGCCGCCCGCGCGGCCGGACACAUUAAUACCCAGCGCCCCCCUACUCCCACCCACACGCCGCACCCCAUCCCCGCACCCACGCGCCGCCCCUUCCCCUCCCUCUCCCGGUCGGCGGCGCCCCUUCCCCUCCCUCUCCCGGUCGGCGGCGCCCCUUCCCCUCCCUCUCCUCCGGCGGGCGGCGCCCCUCCCUUCCCUAUUCGGCGGGCGGCACCCCUCCCCUUCGUCUCCUCCGGCGGGCGGCGCCCCUCCUCCGGCCGCGCGGACACAUUAACACCCAGCGCCCCCCUACUCCCACCCACACGCCGCACCCCAUCCCGCACACACGCGCCGCCCCUUCCCCUCCCUCUCCCGGUCGGCGGCGCCCCUUCCCCUCCCUCUCCGACGGGCGGCGCCCCUUCCCCUCCCUCUCCUCCGGCGGGCGGCGCCCCUCCCUUCCCUCUUCGGCGGGCGGCACCCCUCCACCUUCGUCUCCUCCGGCGGGCGGCGCCCCUCCUCCGGCCCUUCCUCUCCCGGCCGGGCGGCGCCCCUUCCCGUCCCUCUCCGGCGGGCGGCGCCCCUCCCCUCCCUCUCCUCCGGCGGGCGGCGCCCUCUCCCAGCCCCGCUCCCCACCGGUGUCGGGCAUACUCCCCAAGCCCACGAGUAGGCCUUGGACGGCCCACUAAGGGACAUACUCGGAUAAGAUCAGAACAAGGAUAUGCGUAUCCUUCUCGGACUAGUCUUGUAUGUUUAUGGAAAACUACUCGGGCCAAUACCGAGUAGAACUCUGUAAUAGUACCCGACUAGGACUCAGAUUUGUAACCCUGCCCUCCUGCGUAUAUAAGGCCAAGCAGGGAUCCCCCUCAGAACAACUCCAAUUCAUCAAUCCCCAAGAUCAAUACAAACCAACACACAGGACGUAGGGUAUUACGCGAUCUAGCGGCCCGAACCUGUCUAAAUCGUGUUCCUUGCGUCACCAUUGAUUCCUUGAUUCUUGACAACCCUUACCGCAUAAAAUACCACCUAGGGUACCCCUGGGCGGGUUGCCGGUCUAAAACACCGACAACCGGUGAGAUCUGGCGGUUGGGGCGGCCUCCUUCCUCCCUUCCUCCGCCGCCGGUCAGAUCCGGGCAGCUCGAGGGGAGGGGGCUCCGGAGGCAGCCAGAUUCGGGCGGUGGCCGCGGAUCGAGGGGAAGGGGCCUGGCAGCGGCGCACCCCUGCCCCUCCCCCACCCUCUCCGGCGGAUCCGGCGGCACCGACCCUCCCCUCACCAGAUCCGGCAGUGCCGGGGCCCUCUCCAGAUCCGCUGCGGUGUGGGGGUGUGCUGGUGGUGGUCGGUGGUGAUGGCGGCAUGGGAGGUGGUGCUGGCGGUGGUGGCGGCCGGUGGUGGUGGUGCUGGCGGAGCUGGCGGCCGGUGGCGGCGGCGACGGAACAUGAUUUUUUUUAUUUUUUUCAAAAUUGGAUGCCGAGUGUUUUCUGGCUACUCGACAAAGACUUUGCCAAGUGCGCGACACAAAACACUCGGCAAAUCCAUGUUUGCCGACUCAAAAUUUGCCGUGUGCCGUCUGCCGAGUGUUACACUCGGCAAACGGUUCGCCGAGUGUAUUUUGCCUGUGUCCCGUAGUGUUCUUUCCUUUAAUAUUGAUUAUGACAUGGUCGUAAGUAGAAUUUGUGAGGUCCAUCAUAUCGUGUUUACACAGGACUAGGAAAGUGACUUAGUACUGUACAUAUUCUCACUUCACUUUAUCCAUUUGCUUCUACCUGCUUUUAGUAAAUGACAUUUAUGUGACUUCAAUUAAAAAAGUUCUCAAGGUAUUUGUGCCACUUUUUUCUUAUUUCAUGUGAAGUGGGACUUUCAAAAAUAAAAACCAUGAAGAUUAGUUAUGAGAUAAAGAUUAUAUGUUACAAUAUUUUGUCUUUAGAAAUGGCUUUGUGAAAAUAUUAUUUUUAUCAGUAUAUAUUGAUACUCCCUUCAAUUCCUAGUGUUGGUCGGUUUUAGCCUUAUCAACUAUUCUUCAAAUAUAAGUCAUUUUAGAAUUUAUAGGAAUUUUUUAUAUUUCUUCCUUCUUUGCGCUUGCUUAAUAGAUGCUUAAGAAGUGAGCCAUCUUUUUUGAUGUAGGGCAACAAAGUCAUUUGAACAAAGUCAUUUGAUGUACUUGAUUGUUCCUUAUGGACAAGUCUAAGACAACCUAUAUUUUGACUUGGGGUUUAAAGUUAUCAAAAACAGUGGUGAAACUGCCAAUGUUUUGUCUAAAGACUAGAAAAUUCAAUGACAUCAAAUGAAAAAGAAGGGGGGCAUGGUCUUUCUACUGAUAAGUACACUUGCUCUUUGUUUACCCCCUUACACCAAAUUCAUGUCUAUCCUGAAAUCUUUGAAAUAUUAGACGCUCUUGACAUUUCAUACACGAUCUAUAGCUUUAUCUUUUGGUUUGAAAUAAAUCAAUGCAAAAGGUUGCGCAGAUGCUGCUUCAAAUUUUUAGUGUUCUUUUUGCAGCAUCCUGUAGAAGUUUGUAAAUUUCACCACAUGUAGACAGAAAUUUGAGUUAAUGUUUCUCCUCUUGGACAAAGUAGCUCCUGGACUUGUGCUAACAGUUUAUGAAGCGUGAAUUACGUGUUUUGCUGUUAAAAUUGAGAUAUUCUUUGUGGAAUACUGACAUAUUCUUUUACCGUGUGUUUGGUUACCGAGUCGGAGGGGGUCGGAACGGGUUGGACCUCCUUCAUCCCAUGUUUGGUUGAAAAGAGGACUGGGUUGGAUCCAACCCACAUGGGAAUAUUCUCACAAGAUUCCGGUCGAGGUGAUUCCUCCAAAAUCAAGGGACCACGCCGACCCACAUGCACGCCGUGCGUCUCCGUUUCCUUGCUUGCCCGCCUGCCGAUGCGCUCGCCGCCUCCCCGCCGGUUCCCCUGCCUCGCUCACCACCGGAGUCCCUACCUCCCUGCCGGUUUCCCCUCCCUCGGUCGCCGCCGGAGCGUGGGGAGGAGCGAGCAGCUGGGGAGGAGAGAGCGGCCGGGGAGGGGAGCUUCGCCCGUCGGCGGAGGCGGAGGCCGGCGCAGAGGGAUGAUUCGGGGGCGGAGGUGGCCGUCGGGGAGGAGCGAGCGGCCGGGAAGGGGAGCUCCGCCCGUCGGCGGAGGCGGAGGCCGGCGCAGAGGGACAAUUCGGGGGCGGAGGCGGCUGCCGGGGAGGAGCGAGCGGCCGGGGAGGAGAGAGCAGCCGGGGAGGGGAGCUCCGCCCGCCAGCGGAGGCGGUGGCCGGCGCAGAGGGAGGAGUGGGGGGGAGAAGCCGGGGUGCCGGUGAGGUGCGGCGCGAGGAAGGAGAUAAGGAGCGGCGCAGGAAGAAAAAAAGGAACGGCGGAAGGAAAUAAUGAGGAGAAUGACUGGUGGGACCCGUGGCUGACAAGUGGGGCCACUACUAACGGUGUUAAAAGGACAUCCAUCCCAACCCUCUCGAUCUCUUCAACCAAAUAAAAGACGGGUCGGCUCCAAUCCACUCAUCCAAACAUGGGAUGGGUCGGCUCCAACCCACAAAAGUAGGUCGGCUCCAUCCCAACCCACAUCGUCCCAGAACCAAACGCAUGCUAACAUUUCAGCUUCUGGGUUGUGUGACUGGAGUUAAGGGUAUGAAAUUUGGUCGCUACAAGAUGAUUACGGGAAAUUAUUGUAGUCACGGGAGCUCUUUCACCCCUUUAUAGUUACAUACUUGCUGUAAGCUUAGAAUUGAGUAGUCACUUUGUGAUGGAAUCAAAAUAUGGAGAUUCAGGAGAUACGGCCAUCAUAAACUACAGCCUUGAUUCAGUAACUGAGUAGUCACUUUGCACUUCAUCCCACCUGCGCCUAUAUCACGGUUGCUGUUCCUGCUGUUACUACUUACCUGCACUUGAAACACUCUGCUGAUGUGUUUGAUAUACAAUGAGUGCUGUGCCGAGCUGAGUUAUAUGCCAGACUGAAUGAUCACUUGUCAUUCCUGCUGAUUGAUUUGAAGCAUUGCACUGGUACACAUGAAAGACAAUUUAUUACUCAUACGGUUUUCUACUGUGACUAGGUGUGGUGCCAUGCUCUGCUCGCAAGCAUUACUAGCAGGCAAUUGUGCACUAUUGAACCUUGUGAACCUUUGAUGACUAUUGACAUUAAAAAUCAUACGCAAAGAAAGAAAUCAUACACAAAGAAAGAAAUCCUUUCGAGAGAGUUCGCUGGAGGGGUUCAACCUAACAUCUUACGACACGAACUGCUGCUAGGCGCUAAAUAGUUUGACUGGGUUAACUUUCCAGUUGAAUAUCAGAACAUUUUGGUGACGUUUAAAUUUUCAAAUUGAGGAUGGAGAGUGAUUGAAUUUAGAGUAAAAUGCAUUAGAUGUGUCACUUGUCACUUAGUUAUCAACUUGUAAGGAUUAGUUAUCAACUUGUUAAAAGUACAUUUCAUGGUUCAUAAACUUUUUGUAAGUCAGUUCACCGUAAAUUCAUAAUGGUCUAGUGUGUUUCUAGUACUGACAUGGCACGCUGACUUGGCUGCUUGAAGCAGCUCCUGGUUGAGGCAUUUCGUCGAGCAGGUUGGGGGUGACACCAAGAAGAAGUUUGACGGUGUGGAAAUUUCAAAGCUCGGAUGCAGAGGGACCUAGGUUAGAAUUACCGACAAAGACUCCAUGAAUCGUAG
rnacentral:lncRNA from 1 species